rnacentral:rRNA from 1 species
GAUGAACGCUAGCGGCAGGCUUAACACAUGCAAGUCGAGGGGCAGCACGUCUUCGGAUGGUGGCGACCGGCGCACGGGUGCGUAACACGUAUAGAACCUACCUUUUACAGGGGAAUAGCCCAGAGAAAUUUGGAUUAAUGCCCCAUAGUAUUAUUAGAUGGCAUCAUUUGAUAAUUAAACAUUUAUGGGUAAAAGAUGGCUAUGCGUUCUAUUAGCUAGAUGGUAAGGUAACGGCUUACCAUGGCGACGAUAGAUAGGGGUCCUGAGAGGGAGAUCCCCCACACUGGUACUGAGACACGGACCAGACUCCUACGGGAGGCAGCAGUGAGGAAUAUUGGACAAUGGGCGAGAGCCUGAUCCAGGCAUGCCGCGUGCAGGAAGACGGUCCUAUGGAUUGUAAACUGCUUUUAUACAGGAAGAAACACUCCCUCGUGAGGG